ACUGCAGCUGGGCAGGCACACUCCUCGCAGACCCGGCGCUCUCCAAGGAGAAAAGAAAGUUAGUGGGCUUGGGGUACUAUGGCAGAAAUGGCCAGGGAAGGGUUUAUCUAACCACCAGGAGUACGCAAAGAAGAGAGGUCCAGCCAGCCUGCCUCUCAGAUUGUUAAGAUGCCAGGUGUCUUUUGGCUCAUGGAAACAGCUGUUCUGCCCCCUCCCGAACCCUAGACUCACAGCUACACUCUGUGGGGAAAGCACAAAGGGAAGGCUGCUUCCUAAAGAGAUCUCCAUAUGGAAGAGCUGCAGAUCACAAACAACCCACACAGCCAUUGUAACGCCUGCUUGCCUGGUCAUUUGUGUUUCUGAGAAGCCAUAACUCCAAGAAUAGCGAAGGGAAGAAAAUGCUAAAAAGCAGGGGCUGCCUAACAGGUCUGACUUGCAAGGCAAACUCCUGGCAGGCCUGGCCAGCUUCUGCUUGUCCCAGUGCAAUGCCACCCCCAUAGGAUCUGGAAUUUUUCAGUCCCUUUGCUAAGAUUCCUGAAAUAGACUUAAUGAAGAGCCUCCGAAGUGAAAAUUCCUCUUCACACAUUUGCUCAAGAAGAUUGCUUUUCUCCUAACACAGAAAUCAGCUGCCUUGAGGAUGUGCAAGUUUGAUUAGGGAGUCUGCUCUUGCCUAUUUCUCAAACAGUUCAGGCCCUGACAGAAUCAGUGUCACCCCUAAGAUAUUUGCUUCAAAUGCCCCCCAUAUAAUCAACACUUAUAAAUGAUAAACCAAAAGUUGAGGUACACUCAUUGCCUUUCAGAAUGAAACCUUCCAAGGGGCCAUGAUCCUAUUGUGACUGGACAAGAACUAUCAUGGAUGAGGCAUAUCAUCUUUUAGAACCAUCUAUGGAACAGAUAUUAUUAUUCCAUUUUGCAGAAGAGGAAUCUGAGGCUCAGGCCAGACAGAUGCAGCUAACGUUGAGUGGCAUCCUGAUCAUCUUCAUCACAAAAGGCAGGAGUGCUCUGAGGACUGUAGGUGGCUCUCAGAACCCUGACCUCCACGGCAGCCAUCAAGGAGUGGCAAAGGGGGUCCACAGUGGCAUAUGCAGUGAGAUCCAAGUUUUAGGCAUUCGGAGUAGAGCAAGCCACGAAUGAGAACAGGUUCUGAAAGUGACAGAAAAGGAGUCACUUUUUUGGUUCCAUAUGAACUUUAAAAUAGUUUUUUCCAAUUCUGUGAAGAAAGUCAUUGGUAGCUUGAUGGGGAUGGCAUUGAAUCUAUAAAUUACCUUGGGCAGUAUGGCCAUUUUCAUGAUAUUGAUUCUUCCUACCCAUGAGCAUGGAAUGUUCUUCCAUUUGUUUGUAUCCUCUUUUAUUUCCUUGAGCAGUGGUUUGUAGUUCUCCUUGAAGAGGUCCUUCACAUCCCUUGUAAGUUGGAUUCCUAGGUAUUUUAUUCUCUUUGAAGCAAUUGUGAAUGGGAGUUCACUCAUGAUUUGGCUCUCUGUUUGUCUGUUGUUAGUGUAUAAGAAUGCUUGUGAUUUUUGUACAUUGAUUUUGUAUCCUGAGACUUUGCUGAAGUUGUUUAUCAGCUUAAGGAGAUUUUGGGCUGAGACAAUGGGGUUUUCUAGAUAUACAAUCAUGUCAUCUGCAAACAGGGACAAUUUGACUUCCUCUUUU
rnacentral:antisense_RNA from 1 species